rnacentral:rRNA from 1 species
UACGUAGGUGGCGAGCGUUAUCCGGAUUUAUUGGGCGUAAAGGGAACGCAGGCGGUCUUUUAAGUCUGAUGUGAAAGCCUUCGGCUUAACCGGAGUAGUGCAUUGGAAACUGGGAGACUUGAGUGCAGAAGAGGAGAGUGGAACUCCAUGUGUAGCGGUGAAAUGCGUAGAUAUAUGGAAGAACACCAGUGGCGAAAGCGGCUCUCUGGUCUGUAGCUGACGCUGAGGUUCGAAAGCGUGGGUAGCAAACAGG